rnacentral:rRNA from 1 species
GUUUGAUCCUGGCUCAGGAUGAACGCUAGCGGCAGGCCUAACACAUGCAAGUCGAGGGGUAACAGGGUAGCAAUAUCGCUGACGACCGGCGCACGGGUGAGUAACACGUAUGCAACCUUCCUUUAACUGGGGGAUAGCCCGGAGAAAUUCGGAUUAAUACCCCAUAAUAUCACAGAAAGGCAUCUUUUUGUGAUUAAAGCUCCGGCGGUUAAAGAUGGGCAUGCGUACCAUUAGCUAGUUGGUGAGGUAACGGCUCACCAAGGCAACGAUGGUUAGGGGGUCUGAGAGGAUGAUCCCCCACACUGGUACUGAGACACGGACCAGACUCCUACGGGAGGCAGCAGUGAGGAAUAUUGGGCAAUGGGCGCAAGCCUGACCCAGCCAUGCCGCGUGAAGGAUGAAUGCCCUAUGGGUUGUAAACUUCUUUUGUACGGGACGAAACUCCUGGUCGUGACCGGGAUUGACUGUACCGUGCGAAUAAGCAUCGGCUAACUCCGUGCCAGCAGCCGCGGUAAUACGGAGGAUGCAAGCGUUAUCCGGAUUCAUUGGGUUUAAAGGGUGCGUAGGCGGAAUAAUAAGUCAGUGGUGAAAGCCUGCGGCUUAACCGUAGAAUUGCCAUUGAUACUGUUAUUCUUGAGUAUAGUUGAGGUGGGCGGAAUGUGUAAUGUAGCGGUGAAAUGCUUAGAUAUUACACAGAACACCAAUUGCGAAGGCAGCUCACUAAGCUGUUACUGACGCUGAGGCACGAAAGCGUGGGGAGCAAACAGGAUUAGAUACCCUGGUAGUCCACGCUGUAAACGAUGAUCACUCGUUGUUGGCGAUAUACCGUCAGCGACUGAGCGAAAGCAAUAAGUGAUCCACCUGGGGAGUACGGCGGCAACGCUGAAACUCAAAGGAAUUGACG